UUUUUUUUUUUUUUUUAAGUUGCUGCUAAUGGCUAUCUAGGGACAGAAAUGUUGGAAGACCUUUUUGGAAGUCCUUUCUGAAAUACAUUAAAAAAAAAUCUAGAGUUCACUGGAUGAUCGUUUCAUAGAAUAUAGGCUAGCCACCACCAUUUUUGUAGCCAGUGACACCAUCACCGUUCUGAUUUAUCCAAAAGAGAAGUCACUGUAGAUGAGUUAAUCACUUGGAAUAGAGCAGCAGGUGCCAGCUGUCUAGCAAACAGCAAGACUUUCCUGUAUUGGGGGGCUUUUAAAGUAUACACACACACACACAUCAACUCUGCUGUAAAAAAGUUAUUUGCAAAAUAUGAAAACACAAUUGUUUCAAAAAUAAAUUCAAAAUGACUGGUUCAUUUCAUUACCAGUUACAUUUGUGAAAAUGAUCAAAAGGAUAUCUGGGUCCUAGUAGUUAACAUCAAUGAUCCAUAACCUGGUUAAAUUUUACCAACAACCAGAGAAUAGGUUGAUAUUUUCCUUCUCAACCUAAUAGGUAGUUAUUUAAGUAUUAUCAUCUUUAAUUUAGGGGUUAUUGGCCAAAAAGCUGCUAGUCCAGCAGUGUGAUAAAUGGUGUACUGUAGGUUCCUUUGUUUCCAAAGCCAAUGACACUAAAAAUACUCUAAGAAUACAUCAAGGUCCAGAACUCAUCCUGGACACCACCUGCUUACUUGCUGAUUGUUUGAGGAACUUUUUAGGAGAAAUAUUUGCACAAGGGAUAGGCAGCCACAGAGGGAUGGGUGGACAGAAAAGGGUUAAGGGAAGAGAGUGUGAACAUUCUAGAUCUUAUCCUUGUCUACUUCUAAAUCCCUUUCCAUACUCUUUCAAAAGUCCUAACAGCUCAUGAGAAGCAGGACCCUUGAAAUUGAAAAUCAAGUCGCUGUAGUACAUCCGGGCCUCUGGGACAUAGUUGUCCUCACCAGGCAGAAGGGUGGGCCAUGAUUAGCUCAUUGUCUGUUAGCUUCUGCUCUAAUUCACAGGUUAUUGAUGAAUAAGAUCCGGGGCAUGAGAGGGAAUUGGAGCUGGGCCAAGGCAGGAUUGGAAAUGGCAGCCUGGCUCAAAGAAGCCCUAGAGACCAGGGAGCACUGGCCUGGGCCCUCCCAGCCAGCCUGGGCCACGCUCAUGAAUCUCCUUUCAGGGCCACAGGUACCGAUGCUUGCAUUCAUUUUCAUGGGUAAACAAAGGCAUUCAAACUGGAGGAGUAACAAUAUGGUGACUUAAGCCGACGAGUAUAUUUGUGAGAAGCUCUGCAAUAUGAUUUCUGACAGUUGUUUGGCAUAAUUAAAAGAUCACUAAACAGCACUAAGAAAAAACUUUUCAAAAAUAAAUGUGGAUUCUGGAUGAGAUUCUAAUGGCAUAAUGGAGUUUCUGUUUAAAUUUAUCUUUAAAGGAAGUUCCUGUCAGAAGGAGGGGGUGCUAACACAUGGGAACUGACGUCAAAUUUUCUCGGACGGGUGUAGGAGUUAAGAAGGUGGAAAGGCAUAUAAAACUAUUCGAAAUUUCCUCCUGAUGGCAAUCACCAUAUUCUAAACUCUAUUCAAGUUCUCCUCAACCUCCUUUAUGUCUAAAAUCACAGGGUACAUUUUCUAUAAACCAGAGGGAUCCUCUGGAAGGAGAAAGGUGAGUGGAGAGUGGAAACAGGGGUGAGGCAGGGAAGUGGGGAACGGGUUGCGGUAUUUGGGGUUCCCAGUAGGGCAUGGUGGCAGGAAGGGCCCAAGACGUGCAUUUGCAUGGUGGUGCUGAACCGCAGCUCCUGGCAGAGCAGGGCAGCUGGGAGCCGCCAUGGUUGUCAAAACCACCACAACCACCCGUCACUCCCCAUCCAACCCCCAAGCCCACAAACAGGAGCCGGGAGGCCACCCUGGGGGAAAGACACACCUGAGGGCUCUCCUCAUGGACACCCGCAUCCAUGGCAAACAUCCUGAGCAAAGGCCUCACCUCCGAGCACGAAGCCCAGCACUGUGUCACACAGCCCCCCACCCCCCGGGAAUGGUCCAAAGUUUCUAGAAAGAAGCCUUUUCCUUCCUGGGGGCAGGAUUAAUAGCAGUGCCAGAGCUGGCAUGUGGGUUGCUGGGCACUUGCAGCUCGACUGUUGUUGGUUUUGACUCUCUGUGAACAUCCCCCAAAGCCUGUGAUGUAUAAUAAUUUGUCCUGCUGAGGCACUAGAACAGUCUGAGAGCAACUGUUUGGAGUGAGCCAAGCCAUUGAGCUGGUGAUGAGCUUAGGCUACUGCUUAUUAUCUACAUUUCAACUCAGUUUCCCCCAGGUUUCUGCUCAGUAACUCUUGAUGUUUUUGUUAUUGUUGCUGUUUUCAAAGAUUUAUUUUUCAUUUUAGGGACAGAGAAAGAGCACGCGCUGGAAGGGUGGUGGGAGAAUCUCAAGCCGACUGCCCUGAGUGCAUAGCCCCAGGCCACGCUCAAUCUCAUGACUCUGAGAUCAUGGCCUGAGUUGAAAUCAAGAGUCUGAUGCUCAAUCAACUGUGCUACCCAGGUAUCCCCAGAAAAUAGACACUUUUGAGAAAUUAAAAAAUAAUGGAAGGGACAUACUAUAGAAGGAAUUCAACAUCAUACGUGCUGAUAUGCCAAGGUCCCAGAUGUUAAGUCUACUGUACUUUCCAAUUUUGUGAUGUGAGAGGCCUGUGCUCUGAUAAACAUCCUGCGACCAAAUGAGAAAAGGAAUCUGCCUUGAGCAGAAACUAAGGUGUCACUCAUGCAGGGCAUGGUUUAAAUGUGGACAAAACCUGCAGAUGGUCUCCUAAUUUCUCCAUGUAGAUCCCAAUGGCCUGCCUAUUCCAGGCUGACCUUCUGGUGCUGCUCACAAGCCCAUUGUUGGCCACAUCUGGACACCCACGUCAGUUUGGAUCAUUUGGAACUGGCAACUCCUUGAAAUCGUUGGUGCAGACGAGCUGCCUGUGGAGAGGUGUCAGACGGACAUAAGGCCCACAGCGGGUCCCGUCAGGACAGCAGAAUGGAGAAAGGGACUGGGCAGGGUGCUGAGUCAACCAGGAAUAUCUGCGAGUAGGAUUGCUCAGUGCUUUGCCUCCCUGGGUUCCUGCAAAUACCUCCUGAACUCCAGGCCCUGGUGUGUGACCCUCUUGAAUCAUCAGGGCAGCACUCUGACGCUCGAAGUCUGGUGGCAGCAGGAGAGCUGGGAGGGACGGAGUAUGGCUUAGGGAUGCAGCAACUACUUGGAGUCAAGGCUCUUUAAUAAGCAUCUCGGAAGUAAGCUCCAAACUCGUCCCUUGUGUAGAAUAUUGUUUUAUUGGCUAUUACUUGCCCUAAUUAGACCCUCGCCUGAGAUCGUAGGUAUCUGGUUAGAGAGGGAGGGGACUGACCUCAUGCUAUCUUUCAUGGCACUUUGCUGGGCCCACAGGGACUCGGUGAGUGUCAGAUGGUCCUGCCAUGUGAAAGAGAAGAAUGUGAUACUGCUCUAAGGGUCACUAUAGGAUGUCAUCAGGAAGUUGCCUUCCUGCUUUGUCCCCACUCCUAUUGAAGCCGAGGGGAAAACUCAUAAAGUGUGGACGGGGGAGGGGCUGCUGAGAAAAAUGGAACAUAUUGGGACACAUCAGACCACCAGGUGCCGUGAGGUUGCUAUCACUGCCCUAGAAGCUCUAUAGAAUAUUCGUCUUCGGGUUGAAGGCCCGGGAGGUUUGCUGCUGCCUGCGCCCUCCCUUCAUGCCGUCUUGGGGGAGGUGGCUGGUGGUCUUACAGAAAGAAAUUGGUCUUCUUCCCUCUGUAAGCUAACGCGCCAUCCUGGCCUUCGUGAAGGCCCACCCACUCCUACCUUCUUGUCUUGCCCACGCAUCGCAGA
rnacentral:lncRNA from 1 species